rnacentral:lncRNA from 1 species
GCUCAGCUCAUAAAACUCAUUUCUGACACUUUUUUGUUGAAGUGUGUUUUAUUAAUUACACACACUCUGUUACUAUGUUUGUUUAUUACAUGUUUAGUUAGUUAAAUCCUAUUUACUGUAAAUAACUCUGAGCCGUCAAUCAGACUGACGCAACCAAUCCUGUGUCAGGACAUUGGGUUGGGGUGGGCGGGUCCUCUGUGAAGACUGACAGCCAUGGAGGGAUUAGGACUUCAUUACCCAGCAUGCACUCUGUGUGUUUGUAAAAUCCCUAAAGAGGAUUUGUGUGGAUCAGAGACGACAUGCCGCUGAAGAGAGAAGGUGAGACGCUGUUAUCACCCUAUCAUUAUAUUUGUCUUUGUCAGUGUGUUCGUCUGUGUGUGUCAGUGUGUCUGUGUGUGUGUGUGUGUUCGUCUGUGUGUGAGUGUGUGUCUGUUUGUCAGUGUGUGUUUGUCAGUGUGUGUGUGUCUGUGUGUGUGUGUGUGUGUCUGUGUGUAUGUGUGUUCGUCUGUGUGUAUGUGUGUUCGUCUGUGUGUGAGUGUGUGUCUGUGUGUGUGUGUGUGUCUGUGUGUUUGUCAGUGUGUGUGUUUGUCUGUGUGUGUGUGUCUGUGUGUGUGUUUGUGUGUGUGUGUGUGUGUGUGUGUUUGUCAGUGUGUUUGUUCAUCUGUGUGUGUUUGUCAGUGUGUUUGUUCAUCUGUGUGUGUUUGUCAGUGUGUGUGUUUGUCAGUGUGUGUGUUUGUCAGUGUGUGUGUGUGUUUGUCAGUGUGUGUGUUUGUCAGUGUGUGUGUGUGUUUGUCAGUAUGUGUCUGUUUGUCAGUGUGUGUUUGUCAGUGUGUGUGUGUGUGUUUGUCAGUGUGUGUUUGUCAGUGUGUGUGUGUGUGUUUGUCAGUGUGUGUUUGUCAGUGUGUGUCUGUGUGUGUGUUUGUCAGUGUGUGUGUGUGUGUCUGUGUGUGUGUUUGUCAGUGUGUGUGUGUGUGUCUGUGUGUGUGUUUGUCAGUGUGUUCGUCUGUGUGUGAGUGUGUGUCUGUGUUUGUCAGUGUGUGUUUGUCAGUGUGUUUGUCAGUGUGUGUUUGUCAGUGUGUGUGUGUGUCUGUUUGUCAGUGUGUGUGUGUGUGUGUCUGUUUGUCAGUGUCUGUUUGUCAGUGUGUGUGUUUGUGUUCGUCAGUGUGUGUCUGUUUGUCAGUGUGUGUGUGUGUGUCUGUGUGUGUGUGUGUCUGUGUUUGUCAGUGUGUUUGUUUGUGUGUGUGUGUGUGUGUUUGUCAGUGUGUUUGUUCAUCUGUGUGUGUUUGUCAGUGCGUGUGUUUGUCAGUGUGUGUGUUUGUCAGUGUGUGUGUGUGUUUGUCAGUAUGUGUCUGUUUGUCAGUGUGUGUGUGUGUGUGUUUGUCAGUGUGUGUCUGUGUGUGUGUUUGUCAGUGUGUGUGUGUGUGUCUGUGUGUGUGUUUGUCAGUGUGUUCGUCUGUGUGUGAGUGUGUGUCUGUGUGUGUGUUUGUCAGUGUGUGUUUGUCAGUGUGUUUGUCAGUGUGUGUUUGUCAGUGUGUGUGUGUGUCUGUUUGUCAGUGUGUGUGUGUGUGUGUCUGUUUGUCAGUGUCUGUUUGUCAGUGUGUGUGUUUGUGUUCGUCAGUGUGUGUCUGUUUGUCAGUGUGUGUGUGUGUGUCUGUGUGUGUGUUUGUCAGUGUGUUCGUCUGUGUCUGUGUGUGUGUUUGUCAGUGUGUGUUUGUCAGUGUGUGUCUGUCAAUGUGUGUGUGUCUGUCAGUGUGUGUGUUUGUCAGUGUGUGUGUGUGUUUGUCAGUGUGUGUCUGUUUGUCAGUGUGUGUUUGUCAGUGUGUGUGUUUGUCAGUGUGUGUGUUUGUCAGUGUGUGUGUCUGUCAGUGUGUGUGUGUUUGUUUGUGUUCUGCUGUCGUCCCUGAUGAAACCGGUCAGUGUGACCUUUGACCUCUGACUGUCCUCAGCAGGGUCGGUGUGUUUCUGCUGGUCUCUGAGUCAAACUGGUCUGGUUCACGGGCAGGAAGCUCCUGCAUCAUGUGACCUGACC